GAUAAACGCUGGCGGCGUGCCUAAAACAUGCAAGUCGAACGGAUGGCUUCGGCCAUCAGUGGCGAACGGCUGAGUAACGCGUGGGUGACCUUCCUUUGAGUGGGGAAUAACUGCCCGAAAGGGUAGCUAAUACCGCAUGUGGUUAUCGGAGCAUACCGGUAACUAAAGUCGCAAGACGCUCGAAGCUGGGCCCGCGUCCGAUUAGCUUGUUGGUGGGGUAAUGGCCUACCAAGGCGACGAUCGGAGCUGGUCUAAGAGGAUGAUCAGCCAGACUGGGACUGCGACACGGCCCAGACUCCUACGGGAGGCAGCAGUUAGGAAUUUUGGGCAAUGGGCGAAAGCCUGACGGAGCAACGCCGCGUGGGUGAUGAAGUUUUCGGAACGUAAAACCCUUUCAGCAGGGACGAAGCGAGUGACGGUACCUGCAGAAGAAGCAUCGGCUAACUACGUGCCAGCAGCCGCAGUAAU
rnacentral:rRNA from 1 species